UACGUAGGGUGCAAGCGUUAAUCGGAAUUACUGGGCGUAAAGCGUGCGCAGGCGGUUUUGUAAGUUUGUCGUGAAAUCCCCGGGCUCAACCUGGGAAUGGCCGUUGAAACUGGCGAACUGGAGUGUGGCAGAGGGGGGUGGAAUUCCGCGUGUAGCAGUGAAAUGCGUAGAGAUGCGGAGGAACACCGAUGGCGAAGGCAGCCCCCUGGGCUAACACUGACGCUCAGGCACGAAAGCGUGGGGAGCAAACAGG
rnacentral:rRNA from 1 species